CCCGCUUUUUAAAUUAAGUUGUGGGUUGUUAGAAUGUAUAGUCUUUCUCCCCACAAAGACUAUACAUUCUAACAACCCACAACUUAAUUUUAAAAGCGGGU
rnacentral:miRNA from 1 species